rnacentral:rRNA from 1 species
CUCGUAGGUGGCCAACUAAGUCAGACGUGAAAUCCCUCGGCUUAACCGGGGAACUGCGUCUGAUACUGGAUGGCUUGAGUUUGGGAGAGGGACGCGGAAUUCCAGGUGUAGCGGUGAAAUGCGUAGAUAUCUGAGGAACACCGGUGGCGAAGGCGGCGUCCUGGACCAACACUGACACUGAUGAGCGAAAGCCAGGGGAGCAAACG